rnacentral:antisense_RNA from 1 species
ACUUUUUUACUUUUUUUUUUUUUUUUUGAGACAGGUUCUUAACUCUGUCACCCAGGCUGGAGGGCAGUGGUGUGACCACAGCCACUGCAGGCUCGACCUCUGGGACUCAGGUGAUCCUCCCAUCUCAUCCUCCCAAGUAGCUGGGACUACAGGUUGCCUCUUCCAGAUCCCUUUUGAUCUAUUUUCAGCUAUGGAUUCUUGAGAAUCAAGACUAAGCAGCCUGAAAUGAAGGAGUAAGAGUAUCACCUAACAGUGAUUUUGCUGCCAUAGUAGCUGUUUGUAUACUGGCCAUAUGCCUAGGUAAAAUGAGGCCAGAUCACUCUAAGAGUUUUCUAUCAGAGUUGGUGGUGAACUACUGCUCACUGAUAAUGACGAGAAACCCCAGCUGAGGAGGCAAAUACACUCAAGGAAAGUAAUAGUUUCCAAAUGCCUGGCAGUGCCAGGAAGGGGCCAUGUCCGUGGACCACUAUGUAAGGAUAUCUCAGUCUCUAGUCAAGCAUGGUUUAUGGUGCCAAAUAAGUGCCAGGUGAACUCACUACAUCUGACAAAAUCUCAAGGAACCAAGUUUACCAGAUAAUAUUUAUGAUUAUGUGAAAAAGACUGAGGAAAUCACUCUAGUGAUCCAUCAUACAGCACCUCCAGUUCCAAAGAAUACUGACUUACUUCAGCUGUACUGGUCUGGAGCUGCACAUUCUUUUCAGACAACUCUUGUUCCAAUAAGUUCAGGUGACUCUUCUCCUGUAACAGAGCCUCCUUCUUAGAAACUAUGGCCUCCCGUUUCUUUAAGUCUUCUUCCAGCUCCUCUAAUUCUUG